AUGGUCAAAAUACCUUACAUGAUGAUGUUGGACGUUCUUUUAGAGACUCUGGGCCUUCCACCAGCUGAGUACCGAACCAGAGUAUAUGAUGGCAGCAUGGUGUGUGUGACUGUAUUGUUCCAUACACCCACAUCAUAUGUUGGGAAUGAUAGGUAUCGAAUGGUUAUUCCCGGGGUACAAUCUGUUGAUCAUUCUAUGUCAGAAGACAGUGCUGCUAUGGAAGCAAUUGGAUACAUUAAAUGCACAGUGAAGACAGAGAUAAGAGACUAUAAUUACAGCACCAUGAAGAAACUCGAGGAGGAAAAUCGGUCUCUAAAACAUGAGCUUAAUAUAGCUAGGUACAACAAGAAGAAAAUGAAGACAAAGAUCAGGUCCAUCUAG
rnacentral:rRNA from 1 species